CGCCCCUUCCGUGCGAACCUAUGGACCUAUCCCGGCGCAUCCUAUUUCUCAGACCCACCCCCCUGCGUCAUGCGCUCGCGUCUUGAGCCGUAGCUUCUAGCCCUGAGCUUCCGGAUAUGGCCAAGGCAGCCCCCGAGGCGAGGGAGAUGCGGUGCGAACUGGGCGGAGUCGUGGGGGCGGAGCUUAGGGGAAGGUAACAGGUCUCACCUGAGCUCACCAGUUCUCGGCGGACACAACAUCUUUGUUUGUUUGUAUGUGGUGCUGAGGAUCGAACCCAGGCCGCAAGGAUGCCAGGCGAGCGCGCUACCACUUGAGCCACAUUCCCAGCCCUGGAUCAAGUUUAAAUGACCAUGCUGUUCCUUUCACUCCAAAGAAUCUAGAACUACUGUCAAGGAAGGCCUUACCCUGUCCAUCUGCCUAUCUCGGAGCUAGGGAAGAAAAAGAACUUGCAUGUUGGUGAAGGAAGAAGUUGUGUGGGAUGAAGAUGAAAUCUACAAUAAAAUCCAAACUUGUCCAAGA